rnacentral:rRNA from 1 species
UACGUAGGGUGCGAGCGUUAAUCGGAAUUACUGGGCGUAAAGCGUGUGCAGGCGGCGAUGUAAGACCGAUGUGAAAUCCCCGGGCUUAACCUGGGAACUGCAUUGGUGACUGCAUCGCUCGAGUAUGGCAGAGGGGGGUAGAAUUCCACGUGUAGCAGUGAAAUGCGUAGAGAUGUGGAGGAAUACCGAUGGCGAAGGCAGCCCCCUGGGUCAAUACUGACGCUCAUGCACGAAAGCGUGGGGAGCAAACAGG